AGAUGAAAGCCAAAAAAGAGGCAUCUAGCUGUUAAUUAGAAAACUGUAAAGCUUAUUACUCAUUUAG
rnacentral:tRNA from 1 species